CCUACGGGAGGCAGCAGUGGGGAAUAUUGGGCAAUGGAGGCAACUCUUACCCAGCAAUGCCGCGUGAAUGAAGAAGGUCUUCGGAUGGUAAAGUUCUUUAAUUGGGGACGAAAAAAAUGACGGUACCCAAGGAAUAAGCCGCGGCUAACGACGUGCCAGCAGCCGCGGUAAUACGUAGGGGGCAAGCGUUGUGCGGAAUGACUGGGCGUAAAGGGGGUUUCGGCGGUGUAGCAAGUUAGAAGUGAAAUACCUAGAGCUUAACUCCGGUGCUGCUUCUAAAACUGCUAUACUUGAGUGCAGUAGAGGACAGUGGAAUUCCUAGUGUAGCGGUUGCAUGCGUAGAUAUUAGGAGGUACAUCAGUGGCGACGGCGACUUUCUGGACUGUAACUGUCGCUGAGGCACGACCGUGUGGGGCGCACACCGGAUUAGAUCCCCCUGUAGUC
rnacentral:rRNA from 1 species